rfam:Gossypium raimondii Chr05_contig_866, whole genome shotgun sequence.
UGUUAAAAUUUUCAUCCUUUUGUACUAUUAAAAAUUGGCAUGGUUGACGGAAUAAUUAGACAGCAACACGUGGCAUGCCACUUUUACCUUAUGCUGACAUAUAGGGACCAAUUUUUAAUAGUAGAAAUGGAUGCAAUUUUUAAUA